GUAAUACUUGAAUAACUUGCCUUUUACCUGGGGAUAACGGCUGGAAACGGCCGCUAAUACCGAAUGAAGUGCUAUAGGGGAUCUUAUAGCAUAAAAGUAGGGGAUACCGAAAGGUGCCUGGCGGUAAAAGAGAGGUUCAAGAGAUAUCAGCUAGUUGGUGAGGUAAGAGCUCACCAAGGCAAAGACGUCUAGGCGGACUGAGAGGUUGACCGCCAACAUUGGGACUGAGACACUGCCCAGACUCCUACGGGAGGCUGCAGUCGAGAAUCUUUUGCAAUGGGCGAAAGCCUGACAAAGCGACGCCGUGUGAGUGAUGAAGGCCUUCGGGUUGUAAAGCUCUUUCGCUUGGGAACAAGAGUAAGGAGGGAAUAUCUUUUUACUUUGAGGGUACCAGGUAAAGAAGCACUGGCUAACUCCGUGCCAGCAGCUGCGGUAAUACGGAGGGUGCAAGCAUUAAUCGGAUUUAUUGGGCGUAAAGGGCGCGUAGGCGGUAAUGCAAGUCAGAUGUGAAAUUCCGAGAGCUUAACUCCGGAGCUGCAUAUGAAACUGCAAUACUAGAGGGUUGACGGAGAAAAUGGAAUUCCAUGUGUAGCGGUGAAAUGCGUAGAUAUAUGGAAGAACACCGGUGGCGAAAGCGGUUUUCUAGUUAAUACCUGACGCUGAGGCGCGAGAGCAAGGGGAGCAAACAGGAUUAGAUACCCUGGUAGUCCUUGCCGUAAACGAUGUGUACUUGAUGUAGUUGGGCUCAACCCUGACUGUGUCGAAGCUAACGCGAUAAGUACACCGCCUGAGGAGUACGCUCGCAAGGGUGAAACUCAAAAGAAUUGACGGGGGCCCGCACAAGCAGUGGAGCAUGUGGUUUAAUUCGAUGCCACGCGAAGAACCUUACCCAGGUUGGAAAUGUAUAGGACGUUAUCAGAAAUGGUAAUUCCCGCAAGGGCUUAUACACAGGUGCUGCAUGGCUGUCGUCAGCUCGUGCCGUGAGGUGUUGGGUUAAGUCCCGCAACGAGCGCAACCCUUAUCGUUAGUUGCCAACAGGUCAAGCUGGGAACUCUAACGAGACUGCCUAGGUUAACUAGGAGGAAGGUGAGGAUGACGUCAAGUCCGCAUGGCCUUUAUAUCUGGGGCUACACACGUGCUACAAUGGUCGAUACAGAAGGUAGCAAGACCGCAAGGUGGAGCAAAUCCCUAAAAUCGAUCUCAGUUCAGAUUGUAGUCUGCAACUUGACUACAUGAAGUUGGAAUUGCUAGUAAUGGCGUGUCAGCAACAACGCCGUGAAUACGUUCCCGGGCCUUGUACACACCGCCCGUCACAUCAUGGGAGUUGGUUUUACCCGAAGUCACUGACUUAACCGCAAGGGGAGAGGUGCCGAAGGUAAGGCCGAUGACUGGGAUGAAGUCGGAACAAGGUA
rnacentral:rRNA from 1 species